GAGCAUGGGCAUGUAAAAUAGGUGGGUCUUAUACUGCUGUGGGAGGAUUUACAAACCAGAUGAACAGAUUGAGAGUUUUCAGUAGAUGGUCUUAUUCGAUCACACUUUUUAGUGAAGGUUUUUUUUUAAUAUUUCACAUGUUUUUGUUCUGUUUUAGCUGGUGGCACCUGCUUGGUGUGUUUGGGGCCGAAACAAAUGAAAUAAAGUCAGUGUCAGUGAUGGAGGGAGAUUCUGUCCUACUACACAAUGAUGUUGCUGAAAUAUGUGAAAACGACCACAUACAGUGGAAUAUUAGAAAUGAAAUGUCACUCAUGGCUAGAAUUACCAAUAAGAAGCAAAUUCUCCCCACAUCUGAUGUUCUUGAUGGGGGAUUCAGAGAGAGACUGAAGCUGGACAGACAAACUGGAUCUCUGACCAUCACAAACAUCACAACUCAACAUGCUGGACUCUAUGAAGUAAAGAUAAUUGGAAAAACACCAUUAUCAAAAACAUUCAAUGUUUCUGUCUAUGCUCAGCUGUCUGUUCCUGUCAUCAGCAGUAACUCUUCACAAUGUUCUUCUUCAUC